rnacentral:rRNA from 2 species
GGGAGCUUGCUCCCUGAAGUCAGCGGCGGACGGGUGAGUAACACGUGGGCAACCUGCCUGUAAGACUGGGAUAACUCCGGGAAACCGGGGCUAAUACCGGAUAACUCUUUUCCUCACAUGAGGAAAAGCUGAAAGAUGGUUUCGGCUAUCACUUACAGAUGGGCCCGCGGCGCAUUAGCUAGUUGGUGAGGUAACGGCUCACCAAGGCCACGAUGCGUAGCCGACCUGAGAGGGUGAUCGGCCACACUGGGACUGAGACACGGCCCAGACUCCUACGGGAGGCAGCAGUAGGGAAUCUUCCGCAAUGGACGAAAGUCUGACGGAGCAACGCCGCGUGAGUGAUGAAGGUUUUCGGAUCGUAAAACUCUGUUGUCAGGGAAGAACAAGUACCGGAGUAACUGCCGGUACCUUGACGGUACCUGACCAGAAAGCCACGGCUAACUACGUGCCAGCAGCCGCGGUAAUACGUAGGUGGCAAGCGUUGUCCGGAAUUAUUGGGCGUAAAGCGCGCGCAGGCGGUUCCUUAAGUCUGAUGUGAAAGCCCCCGGCUCAACCGGGGAGGGUCAUUGGAAACUGGGGAACUUGAGUGCAGAAGAGAAGAGUGGAAUUCCACGUGUAGCGGUGAAAUGCGUAGAGAUGUGGAGGAACACCAGUGGCGAAGGCGACUCUUUGGUCUGUAACUGACGCUGAGGCGCGAAAG